rnacentral:rRNA from 1 species
GUCUCAGUUCGGACUGUGGUCUGCAACCCGACCACACGAAGCUGGAAUCGCUAGUAAUCGCGAAUCAGAAUGUCGCGGUGAAUACGUUCCCGGGUCUUGUACACACCGCCCGUCACACCAUGGGAGUCAGCAACGCCCGAAGUCAGUGACCUAACCGAAAGGGAGGAGCUGCCGAAGGCGGGGCCGGUAACUGGGGUGAAGUCGUAACAAGGUAGC